CAUGUAGGCGGUUAAAUAAGUCUGAUGUGAAAGCAUACAGCUCAACUGUAUUGUUGCGUUGGAAACUGUUUGACUUGAAUCCGAGAGGGGUGUGUGGAAUUCCUAGUGUAGGGGUGAAAUCUGUUGAUAUUAGGAAGAACACCAGAGGCGAAGGCGACACACUGGCUCUGGAUUGACGCUGAGGUGCGAAAGCGUAGGUAGCGAACAGGAUUAGAUACCCUGGUAGUCC
rnacentral:rRNA from 1 species